GACGAACGCUGGCGGCGUGCUUAACACAUGCAAGUCGAACGCUGAAUCUCUGCCCUUGUGGUGGGGUGGAUGAGUGGCGAACGGGUGAGUAACACGUGGGUAAUCUGCCCCAUACUCUGGGAUAACCCCUGGAAACGGGGGCUAAUACCGGAUAGGACAUUCUGCCGCAUGGUGGGGUGUGGAAAGUUCCGGCGGGAUGGGAUGGGCCCGCGGCCUAUCACCUUGUUGGUGGGGUAAUGGCCUACCAAGGCGACGACGGGUAGCCGGCCUGAGAGGGUGACCGGCCACACUGGGACUGAAACACGGCCCAGACUCCUACCGGAGGCAACGGUGGGGAAUCUUGCCCAAUGGGCGAAAGCCUGACGCAACAACGCCGCGUGGGGGAUGAAGGCCUUCGGGUUGUAAACCUCUUUCACCAUCGACGAAACCCUUUGGGGUGACGGUAGGUGGGGAAGAAGCACCGGCUAACUAC
rnacentral:rRNA from 1 species